GAUGAACGCUGGCGGCGUGCCUAAUACAUGCAAGUCGAGCGAACGGACGAGAAGCUUGCUCCUCUGACGUUAGCGGCGGACGGGUGAGUAACACGUGGAUAACCUACCUAUAAGACUGGGAUAACUUCGGGAAACCGGAGCUAAUACCGGAUAAUAUAUUGAACCGCAUGGUUCAAUAGUGAAAGACGGUCUUGCUGUCACUUAUAGAUGGAUCCGCGCUGCAUUAGCUAGUUGGUAAGGUAACGGCUUACCAAGGCAACGAUGCGUAGCCGACCUGAGAGGGUGAUCGGCCACACUGGAACUGAGACACGGUCCAGACUCCUACGGGAGGCAGCAGUAGGGAAUCUUCCGCAAUGGGCGAAAGCCUGACGGAGCAACGCCGCGUGAGUGAUGAAGGUCUUCGGAUCGUAAAACUCUGUUAUUAGGGAAGAACAAAUGUGUAAGUAACUAUGCACGUCUUGACGGUACCUAAUCAGAAAGCCACGGCUAACUACGUG
rnacentral:rRNA from 1 species